CUAGCCCUACGGGGCGCAGCAGUGGGGAAUAUUGCACAAUGGGGGAAACCCUGAUGCAGCGACGCCGCGUGAGUGAAGAAGUAUUUCGGUAUGUAAAGCUCUAUCAGCAGGGAAGAUAAUGACGGUACCUGACUAAGAAGCCCCGGCUAACUACGUGCCAGCAGCCGCGGUAAUACGUAGGGGGCAAGCGUUAUCCGGAUUUACUGGGUGUAAAGGGUGCGUAGGUGGCAGGGCAAGUCAGAUGUGAAAGCCCGGGGCUCAACCCCGGUACUGCAUUUGAAGCUGCCGGGCUGGAGUGUCAGAAG
rnacentral:rRNA from 1 species